ACUGAAUAAUUUGUAGGGUAGUCAGAAGCGGUUCUGCGCUACCUGUCUAACUACUCUGAAUGAGCAUUUAUUAGUUAAACUCUGUGCAUCUUCAAAUUAUGGAUUUAUUUUUUGUUUUCUUCUGUAUGUAAUCAUAUGUUGCUAAAACAUGGCCUGUCAUAUGUUUUUUUUACCUUUUGUUUUAUGCCAAUAUAAGCAUAAGGGUAUGAAAAUGAAAUCUGAGUUUGAGAAAUAGUGCUUAAAGUGGUCUAUCUAUUCAUUCAUAGGUGUCGUCCAAAUAGAAGCCCUCCUGCAAAAAGAGCCGCCCUGGACAGAAAUGCUCUUUGUGAAAGCCCUCCGGGCCUGCAGAGGAUGCCCUCCACCUCUCUGUCGACACAGGCAGGGAAGAAUCAGGCCUCCACGCAGCAGCAGCAGCAGCAGCCGUUGAAGGGGGUUGACCUCUCAGCCUGGGCUCUGGAGCAGGACCCGUCUGAGAGUCUCCACGCUGAGCCCCUGGAGCAGCACGAGUACGACUACAGCUGUGAAGAGCAGAUGGUGCCUGCAUCCGUGGCGUACCAGCCCUACAGGUCUGUCGACUAUGCCCGAUUCCCACUGCCCUCCACUGACGUAGAGGCGGCGCACACCCCCGUCCACCCUCUGCCUCACCCACUCGCCACAGCCGAGCACAACACACAGCAACAUGGAUACUACCACCAUCCUUACCAUAACAGCCACGCAGCAGACUGGAGCCAGUACCCGCUGUUCUCCUACUCUAUCUGGUGAACUCUGACCCUCCGCAAUGGUGAUCAUUGGCGGAGGAUAAAACCAGACUGACGGGCCGCUGGAGUGGUGUUAAAAGUGUAUAAAUGUGUAUAAAGUUUGGGUUGUUUUUUGUUUUUUUUGUAUGUUGGAUCAGUUUUUUUUAUUUUUCACUUUCAUUGGAAAGAAGAUUGUAUUCAUCCGAGGUGCUGUUGCUGUAUUUUUAGGUACCGUGCUCAGUCUGAGCUUGUCAGUGUUAAAGUAGAUACAGUAUGUGUUAUGAGAUGCACCAAUAUAAAGUGAUAUAUCCACUCAGCUGGGAAAUAAGUGUGAAAUUGAAUCUGCAAGCGUGAUGAAGAGUCGCUCCUGUGUACUGCAACAGAACAGAACUUCAAUAAGGCUGUACAUCAAAUCGAGGUCAUGAAGGCUCUUUGGACUCUCCUUUUGACUUUGUACUCAUCUGCAGCUGUUGAUGCUAAACACUAAAUGUGGUAUAAAAAUGAUUUUAAUGCAUAACAAAACAUACUUUUAUUCAACAGCAAACUGUAAAAGGAUUGUUUCAGAGUCAUACCAGAUAAAUCGAAAUGUGUCAGAAUCAGUAUCUGCAUCAAAAAGUGACAAAUUGUUUCUUAAUAAAUGGAGAUGAACAAUACCAG
rnacentral:lncRNA from 1 species